rnacentral:rRNA from 1 species
UCGGACCUGCCCAGUGAAGUUUAAACGGCCGCGGUACUCUGACCGUGCAAAGGUAGCAUAAUCAUUUGCCUUAUAAUUGAAGGCUGGAAUGAAUGGUUUGACAAGAAUACACCUGUCUCUUUUAGAUUAUUUAGAAUUUUAUCUCUGGGUGAAAAAGCCCAGAUCUUAUUAAAAGACAAGAAGACCCUAUCGAGCUUCAGAAAAAUUAAUAGAGAUUAUAUUUAAUAUUAAUUAAAAGAAAAGCUAUUGGAUACUUUGGUUGGGGCAACCGAGGAGUAAAUAAAGCCUCCUUUAAAUAAGAAGUCUUACUUGUGAAGAUCCAAGAAUUUUGAUCAAAGAAAUUAGUUACCGUAGGGAUAACAGCAUUAUCUUUUUUGAGAGCCCAUAUCGAAAAAAAGGUUUGUGACCUCGAUGUUGGACCAGAAUAUCCUAAAGAUGCAGAAGUCUUUGAGGGUUGGUCUGUUCGACCAUUAAAAUUC